CAGGACUAUAUUUCAUACUAACAUUAAAACCGCUGUGGAGCACAGCUCCCCAGAACCCAUAUUCGCUUUAAACACUAUUUUGAUAACACCAAGGAGAAAUCAAUACACUAAGGGUAGGGAACAGCAGCAUGGUAGCACAGAGCCAAAAGAGGACCACGCGAAACAAAAGCAAAGACCCAGGGAAUGUUUGAGUGCACCCAGGGCUGAAUGCAGGCUUGAGAGAGGCGGGCAUAUUCUGGGUCAUAUGGAAAAGGAGUGGGAAGGCCAGGGUAGCAGGGUGAGUUGCAGAAAGGAGCAUGUUGAGCUGUCAGUCAGGUCUAGAAAUAGAAAAGCAUCUGCAAACUGCAUCUCAACACUCACAGCCAGCAAGCAGGAGUCAAGAAUCCCACUUCACUGUUAUUCAGAGUGUAUCCCUGCAACCAGGCACCAACACUUGCUACAGAGACUUGCUGAUACUCAGACGUUGGAAAAGCAGAGCCGGCAAGGCGCCUGGCAGUCCAGACCACUCUCCCUUAUAUUGUGUAGCAGCACUUGGCAACCCUGCCACACCACAGGCAAUAGCAGAGGAUCAACCAGCAUGGGAACAAAGCUUGCUGAGGCCAGCAGUAAGGCCCUCAAGUCAGCCCUCUGCUGAUGAAAACUACAACAAUUGGACAGAUGAAGCUCUCUCUUUUAAAAUACAGAUGUAUUCAAACACUCAAAACACAUCUGCUUGCUCAGAAUCCAGUAGCUUUGAGUGUGUUGCUGUGGCAUUGGAAACUACAGAUGAAGUAAACCGAGGCUUAAAGACUGUGCCCAAAAGACAAAUCCAACUGAAGAGACGCGACUCAACAGAGGCACAUGCCAGAGAGAGCAGCAAUCAAAGCCUUCAGGUUGCAAACACACCUGUGUGUGCCCGGGACAUAUUUCAGCGUCAACAUAGCACCCCUGCAGCUUUUAACCAGGAGUCCCAUGUGGCUGAUCAAAGGUCAGUACAGGCUGACAGAAAGCAAAGGCUUCAGAAGUCAUUUUCCCUGGAUGAAACCUCCUGCAAAACCCAGAUGGCUUCCUGCAUCAUAACAAAUGUCUUAACAAAAAAAAUGCAACAUGAACAGAAUCUUCACACCUUGGAUGUUUCUGAUAAAGCCUUUACUUCUAUCAAAGUGAGCAACAGGACUACUACCACUGAUGAAUGCAUCUAUUUGUCUGACAAGGAUGUAUUUGCUGAAACUACCAAACUAAACCAAAAUGCUACUCUUAAGAGGGAGGCCCAGAGAGAGUGCAGCCCUGUUCAAAAGCAUUGCAGUGUUAACUUUAAAACGCAGCCCAAGCUGCUGAGCAAACAUGGCUUCAAUCCUCUUUUAAGUGCAAUUGUCAGGUCUGAAGUUCAAGGCAGUUGCACUGAAAUAAUGGACCCUUCAGAGAAUGAGAAAGCAGAGAAGUUGAGUCCAAGAGAGAACAUGUUCUGGCUGCCUAACCUGUGCCCUGGUGUGAAGCUAUUCUGUGACUCAGCAAAAAGCAGAGCAUGGAAUUUGAGUGUAGCAACAAAUGUAGCCAUCAGCACACAGGCUUCUAUGAAAACCACACCUGAAGAAUGCCAUACAGGGCAAGGAAUCCAUAGACAACACAAUAUGACCCUUACCAAUGUGCUGGAAAAGCAGGACAGAACAGGCUGGCAUUAUGGAAGGUACACUCAGUCCUACUAA
ensembl:lncRNA